rnacentral:rRNA from 1 species
GAUGAACGCUGGCGGCGUGCUUAACACAUGCAAGUCGAACGGAAAGGCCCAAGCUUGCUUGGGUACUCGAGUGGCGAACGGGUGAGUAACACGUGGGUGAUCUGCCCUUCACUUCGGGAUAAGCCUGGGAAACUGGGGCUAAUACCGGAUAGGACCACUUCCUGGAUGUUGGGGGUGAAAGUGUUUUCGGGGUGGGAUGAGCUCUCGGCCUAUCAGGUUGUUGGUGGGGUAAGGGCCUUCCAAGGCGUUGACGGGUAGCCGGGCUGAGAGGGGGUACGGCCACAUUGGGACUGGGAAAAGGGCCAGACCCCUACGGGGAGGAGCAGUGGGGAAUAUUGCAAAAUGGGGGCGAGCCUUAUGCAGCGAAGGCGGGGGGGGGAUGACGGCCUUCGGGUUGGUAACUCGUUUUGCUAGGGAAGAAGCGGUUAGUGACGGUACCUGGAGAAGAAGCACCGGCUAACUACGUG